AAGUUUUUUCCCUCCCCCUUGCUGGGGAACCUCCAAGCUUUGGGGUGGGAGGAGGCAGCAGAGCGAGGGACUGAGGGACGGCGGCAACUGAGGCGGCGGCGGCUGAGGCAGAGCUGGGAAGGGGGUUUCCAGGGGACACGGCAGCUCCUCGAAAGGCUUCUCUCAGCUGCGCUCAAUCCGCCUCGGAGAGGAUUUCCCCUCCGGUCCCAUGCGUUCGUUUGGGGCAUCGCUCCGGCUGCUCCCUCUCCCGCCGCGCAGGAGCGAUGCCUCUCUCUGGCUCUCCCUCCGCACAGGCUGAGGGAGGGAGGGAGGGGCGCGUGUGACCCGUCUCUGCUGGGAGACCAAACCCAGCGAGGCAGAGUCGCGCGGAGGCGCCCAGGCAGCGCUGCCGGCUGCGAGGAGGAGCGCCAGGCAGCAGCAGGAGGCGCGGCCUCUCCUCGCCGCCGCUGCCCCGCCUCUCGCCGCCCGACUCGCCCGCCUCCCUCCAGGCAUCUCGCGGCACACGAGGCAACGUCUCACGGCACACUCGUGUGCCGCGGAACACCGGUUGGGAAACACUGCUUUAGACGGAGCAUAGGUGGACUACAGAACUCACUCCCACAUAUUGUAGUGAUGAACACCAACUCGGCUGGGUUUAAAAGAGGAUUACACAAAGGCCAUCAACAGCUACUACGUUCUACCGCCAAUGUCAGAAGUGGCCUGCCUCUGCAUACCACCCGCGGGGGGACUCACAAAUGGGCAGAGGGCUCAUGCCUUGCUUGUGGGCUUCCCAUAGACAUCUGGUUGGCCACCAUGAGAACAGGAUGGUGGACUAGGUGGGCCUUUGGCCUGACCCAGCGGGGCUCUUGUGCUUGUAAGCUAGACAACCCUGCCUUCAUUGUAACCUGGCAGGGGUUGCAUGCUAUGAAAAAAUGCACAAGGGUGCAUCGUUAUUCAGUGUGCCUCCAUUACCCUGAACACCUUUGCAAACGUUUCCAAGCACAAUUCAAAGUGUUGGCACUGACCUUUAAAGCCCUAAACGGCCUCGGUCCAGUAUACCUGAAGGAGCGUCUCCACCCCCAUCGUUCUACCCAAACACUGAGGUCCAGCGCCGAAGGCCUUCUGGCGGUUCCCUCACUGCAAGAAGCAAAGUUACAGGGAACCAGGUAG
rnacentral:lncRNA from 1 species